CCUACGGGAGGCAGCAGUGGGGGAUAUUGCACAAUGGGGGGAACCCUGAUGCAGCGACGCCGCGUGGGUGAAGAAGCGCCUCGGCGCGUAAAGCCCUUUCAGCAGGGAAGGAAAUGACGUUACCUGAAGAAGAAGCCCCGGCUAACUACGUGCCAGCGGCGGCGGUAAUACGGAGGGGGCAAGCGUUAUCCGGAGUGACUGGGUGGAAAGGGGGCGCAGACGGCGAUGCAAGCCAGGAGUGAAAGCUCGGGGCCCAACCCGGGGACUGCUCGUGGAACUGCGGUGCUGGAGUGCAGGAGGGGCAGGCGGAAUUCCUGGUGUAGCGGUGAAAUGCGUAGAUAUGAGGAGGAACACCGGUGGCGAAGGCGGCUUGCUGGACUGCAACUGACGUUGAGGCUCGAAAGCGUGGGGAGCAAACAGGAUUAGAUACCCUUGUAGUC
rnacentral:rRNA from 1 species